CUGUUAUUCUACUCGCCCACGCCGUUGUUGUCAUCCUUUGCUAGGAAACUGUGGGGGAGAUGGCCGGUGCCACCAGCAGGGUUUCACUUCCAGUACUGUGGAGUGACAGGAGGCUGGAGAAUGCAACAGGACACACUGAAGGGCAUACUGCAAAAAAAGAAAAAGAAUUGACAUCUCUGUGGGGAACUUGAGGAGGAAAUUACUUCAUACAUCCAAUAAACAUGAUCUUGGGACCAGCUGGUUAACUGAAACAACUGGUUUAACGGAAAAGAAAGCACAAUUUAGUUUUGAGAAAUGGUUUAAAUCUUUUGUUUUCCUGAUGCCAAUUUGUUGGAUAUUUUGAAUCUAAUGCAAUGACAUACAGACAUUUUUAAAGGCAUAAGUGUUUGAAUACAUUUUGGAGCAGCUAUAUUCUCUAAAAACAAAUGUUAAAUUCAGUUCAUUCAAUUCAGUUCUGUAUUGUAUAAAAUAAGUAUAUUUUACACAAUACUUUUAUUAUACAAUAAAAUACAUAUAUUUCACA